rnacentral:lncRNA from 1 species
UGAUGAUCAAUGCAAAGGACAUCCAAAACCCACGUCUAUAUACAGUCCCCCCAACUUGCACCCCCUUACACCAGCUCAUAUUUUUCUCUUUUUCUUCAUUUCUAAACCCUAAAUCCCAAAUCCACAUAUAGAAAAUACCUUAUAGUACUACUACUCUCUGAAGAAGCUACUUUUGUGUGGUGGGGUUUUCUUGAUUUUGAAUCAAAUUCACAUAUAGAAAAUACCUUAUAGUACUACUACUCUCUGAAGAAGCUACUUUUGUGUGGUGGGGUUUUCUUGAUUUUGAAAGUUUUGUUUGAGAAAAGGCAUGAAAGUAGUAGCAUGGAGAUUGAGGAGAUUCAAACUCAAGACUGUAAAUUUCCA